GAUCUCCCUGAGAGACAGUGUGAGUGGAGGGGAGGCAAGGGGGGAAGAAGGGGAGGGAGUAAGUCAGCCAAUGAACAACCAUUACACAACAGAGAUCGAGCCCCAGAUGGUGAAGAGAGGGAGGAUGGAGGGAUGAAGUAAAUGUUUCAGCUGAAGUGAGAAAGGGAGACAAGACAGCAAAAUAAAAAGGUUUAAACAGAGGUAGGCAAAGAGACAGCAAAAGCAAGGAGAAAGCAUCAAAGUUAAUGUGUAUCGACCCGAGUUUGAGCUCUAGAGCACAUUAACUUUGAUCUGAGUCAGAGGGCAGCAGGGGAGCUGGAGGAGGAAGAGGAGGAGAUGGAAGCCAUGGAGACAUGAGCACAGGACGGGAGAGGAGGGACACAAAGAGAGGACGUGAGAGAGACGGGGGGAGCUUCAACCCAGUCAUUGUAUCGGAUAAAACUACGGUAUGUGGACAGGUACUCCCGCUCUCAGCAGCUCCAACACCACUCUGUCGAGCCCGCUACGCACCGCUCGGAUCAGAACCACAGAGCCGUCCGGACC